GAGGGAGGGUCUGCCGGAGAUUGGCAGGGAUGUGUCAGCUGACCGGAGUUCGCCGCAAACGGUUCGCGGUGAACCGUUCGCGACAUCACUAUAUAUAUAAAAAUCUAAAUAUGUGGUCAAUAUCGGAAGAGGCUAUACCAAAUGAAUAUUUUAAAUCCAUAUUUGAAAAUUUUUAUGCAUACAGAAUUAUUUCCAACUGUCCAUAUUUUAGCUGUUUUACAGAGAACAGAGAAUUAAAAAUUUUAACUGUAAUAAAAAAAUUAAAAAUAAAAAGAUUUCACAAUUUGUUAAGAAUCACAAUUUGAUAAACAAAUUAAACUGUUAAAAUUUAAAUGUCAGACAUAAAGAACAACAUCUAAAUCGAACAUGUCCGAUCUGUCGAACUGUUCCACUUGUUAUUGGGUGUGGGGUACAUCACACUGACUUAACUUUUUCCAAAUAUUAAAACAGGUCUUGGAAUAUUAUUUUCUCAAACUUUCAUAUAGUAACCUAUGCUUAAAAAGUUAGUGGACUUAUUGGAAAGAGCAUGGUAAUAGCACACCAACAAGCAUAGGUUGUUUAUUUAUUAAAAUGCAGAAUAUAAUUUUGAAAUUAUUUUCCAUAAAAAGGAUAGGCAUACUAGAU